AGUGAACGCUGGCGGUAGGCCUAACACAUGCAAGUCGAACGGCAGCACAGUAGGAGCUUGCUCUUACGGGUGGCGAGUGGCGGACGGGUGAGGAAUACAUCGUAAUCUACUUUUUCGUGGGGGAUAACGUAGGGAAACUUACGCUAAUACCGCAUACGACCUACGGGUGAAAGCAGGGGAUCUUCGGACCUUGCGCGAUUGAAUGAGCCGAUGUCGGAUUAGCUAGUUGGCGGGGUAAAGGCCCACCAAGGCGACGAUCCGUAGCUGGUCUGAGAGGAUGAUCAGCCACACUGGAACUGAGACACGGUCCAGACUCCUACGGGAGGCAGCAGUGGGGAAUAUUGGACAAUGGGCGCAAGCCUGAUCCAGCCAUACCGCGUGGGUGAAGAAGGCCUUCGGGUUGUAAAGCCCUUUUGUUGGGAAAGAAAAGCAGCAGGUUAAUACCCCGCUGUUCUGACGGUACCCAAAGAAUAAGCACCGGCUAACUUCGUG
rnacentral:rRNA from 1 species